GACGAACGCUGGCGGCGUGCUAACACAUGCAAGUCGAACGGUAAGGCCCUUCGGGGUACACGAGUGGCGAACGGGUGAGUAACACGUGGGUGAUCUGCCCUGCACUUCGGGAUAAGCCUGGGAAACUGGGUCUAAUACCGGAUAGGACCACUGCCUGCAUGGGUGGUGGUGGAAAGCUUUUGCGGUGUGGGAUGGGCCCGCGGCCUAUCAGCUUGUUGGUGGGGUGAUGGCCUACCAAGGCGACGACGGGUAGCCGGCCUGAGAGGGUGACCGGCCACACUGGGACUGAGAUACGGCCCAGACUCCUACGGGAGGCAGCAGUGGGGAAUAUUGCACAAUGGGCGCAAGCCUGAUGCAGCGACGCCGCGUGAGGGAUGACGGCCUUCGGGUUGUAAACCUCUUUCAGCACCGACGAAGCGCAAGUGACGGUAGGUGCAGAAGGAGGACCGGCCAACUACGUGCCAGCCGCCGCAGUAAGAC
rnacentral:rRNA from 1 species